GCGCUCGUAGCUCAAUUGGCAGAGCAGAGGACUCUUAAUCCUAAGGUUGAAGGUUCGAUUCCUUCCGAGCGCA
rnacentral:tRNA from 1 species